AGAACGAACGCUGGCGGCAUGCCUAACACAUGCAAGUCGAACGCACCGCAAGGUGAGUGGCGGACGGGUGAGUAACGCGUGGGAACCUGCCCAUUAGUACGGAAUAACCGCGGGAAACUGCGGCUAAUACCGUAUACGCCCUACGGGGGAAAGAUUUAUCGCUAAUGGAUGGGCCCGCGUCGGAUUAGCUAGUUGGUGAGGUAACGGCUCACCAAGGCUACGAUCCGUAGCUGGUCUGAGAGGAUGACCAGCCACACUGGGACUGAGACACGGCCCAGACUCCUACGGGAGGCAGCAGUGGGAAUAUGGACAAUGGGGGAAACCCUGAUCCAGCAAUGCCGCGUGAGUGAUGAAGGCUUAGGGUGUAAAGCUCUUCGCCACGACGAUGAUGACGGUAGUGGAGAAGAAGCCCGGCUAACGUUCGUAGCCGAGCGAGCCGC
rnacentral:rRNA from 1 species